rnacentral:rRNA from 1 species
UUCGGUCAAAGAGAAAACUAUGAAAGCGGCGGACGGGUGAGUAACGCGUGAGCAACCUGCCCUGUACAGGGGGAUAGCCACUGGAAACGGUGAUUAAUACCCCAUAACCCCACAGGAUCGCAUGGUCUAAUGGGGAAGCCUUGGCGGUACAGGAUGGGCUCGCGUCUGAUUAGCUAGUUGGUGAGGUAACGGCUCACCAAGGCGACGAUCA